AUACAGAGGAUGCGAGCGUUAUCCGGAUUUAUUGGGUUUAAAGGGUGCGUAGGCUGUGCGUUAAGUCAGGGGUGAAAUGCCGUCGCUCAACGACGGAGCUGCCCUUGAUACUGGCGUGCUGGAGUACGGAUGCCGUUGGAGGAAUGAGUGGUGUAGCGGUGAAAUGCUUAGAUAUCACUCAGAACACCGAUUGCGAAGGCAUCUGACGAAUCCGUCACUGACGCUGAGGCACGAAAGCUUGGGGAUAGAACAGGAUUAGAUACCCUGGUAUUCCACGCCGUAAACGAUGAUGACUAACCGUCGGCGAUAGACAGCCGGUGGCCAAGCGAAAGCGAUAAGUCAUCCACCUGGGGAGUACGUCGGCAACGAUGAAACUCAAAUGAAUUGACGGGG
rnacentral:rRNA from 1 species